AUCCAAAUGAUGAGUCCCAAAUAGGACGAAAUGCGCAUCCUGGAU
rnacentral:hammerhead_ribozyme from 1 species